rnacentral:rRNA from 1 species
GAUGAACGCUGGCGGCGUGCCUAAUACAUGCAAGUCGAGCGGUAAGGCCUCUUCGGAGGUACACGAGCGGCGGACGGCUGAGUAACACGUAGGAACGUACCCCGAAGUGAGGGAUAACUGCUCGAAAGAGUAGCUAAUACCGCAUGUGAUCUAAGGAUUAAAGCUUCGGCGCUUUGGGAACGGCCUGCGCAUGAUUAGCUAGUUGGUGAGGUAAUGGCUCACCAAGGCGACGAUCAUUAGCUGGUCUGAGAGGAUGAUCAGCCAGACUGGGACUGAGACACGGCCCAGACUCCUACGGGAGGCAGCAGUAGGGAAUUUUCCACAAUGGGCGAAAGCCUGAUGGAGCAACGCCGCGUGCAGGAUGAAUGCCUUCGGGUUGUAAACUGCUUUUAUAUGUGACGAUUAUGACGGUAGCAUAUGAAUAAGGAUCGGCUAACUCCGUGCCAGCCGCCGCCGUAA